rnacentral:rRNA from 1 species
UACAGAGGUCUCAACCGUUGUUCGGAUUCAUUGGGCGUAAAGGGUGCGUAGGCGGUCGCGCAAGUCGGAUGUGAAAUCUCGAGGCUCAACCUCGAACUGCAUUCGAUACUGCGUGGCUAGAGUGCUGGAGGGGAGACUGGAAUUACGGUGUAGCAGUGAAAUGCGUAGAUAUCGUAAGGAAGACCAGUGGCGAAGGCGAGUCUCUGGACAGCAACUGACGCUGAGGCACGAAGGCCAGG